CCUACGGGAGGCAGCAGUGAGGAAUAUUGGUCAAUGGGCGCGAGCCUGAACCAGCCAAGUCGCGUGAGUGAUGAAGGUUCUAUGGAUCGCAAGCCUCUUUUAUAAGGGAAUAGAGUGUGGGACGUGUCCUCUUUUGUAUGUACCUUAUGAAUAAAGAUCGGCUAACUCCGUGCCAGCAGCCGCGGUAAUACGGAGGAUCCGAGCGUUAUCCGGAUUUAUUGGGUGUAAAGGGUGCGUAGGCGGCCUUUUAAGUCAGCGGUGAAAGUCUGUGGCUCAACCAUAGAAUUGCAGUUGAAACUGGGGGGCUUGAGUAUGUUAGAGGCAGGCGGAAUGCGUGGUGUAGCGGUGAAAUGCUUAGAGAUCACGCAGAACCCCGAUUGCGAAGGCAGCC
rnacentral:rRNA from 1 species